AUAAAGUCAGGCGGGGAGGGGGUGCUCCAGGUGGGCCGUUGUCUGUGGGAUCUCCAUCUCUCUGGACCACAGUUUCCUUGUCUACAGAGCUAGGAGGGUGGACUCAUGCCCCUCACAGACGCUGAUCCUCAGAGCUGGGGACAGAAUUCUAUCCAAGAAGACUUACUGUAAAAACACUUCUUCAUUUACUCACACAGACACCGUGGGCCUGGCGCUGUUAGGAAUCAAUUCCACUUGAGCCUUGGAGACAGCCUGUUUUGUUUUCCCAGGAAUCCACACCUUAGGGCCUUUGAAGCAGUGGCCUCCACGAAAUACAUAGUGUCACUGUCUCAAGGGCCAAGUGUGCCUCAUGUGGGGCCCGAGACCUUGUAGCCAAUGAUGGGGUUCAGGGCAUGCUACCCCAAAAUGUGGCAGCUUCGCAAGUUGAAUAUUUUAAGUGGAAAGAAUCCAAGAAACAGCAGGCGCAGAAGGACUAUGUGAUUGUUCCCUGAAGCAGGACACCAGACUCCACAGCCAGAGGAAAGGGGCACCGUCCACUCCGAGCACUGGGGACACUGAGAGGAGCCCCGACAGGCCU
rnacentral:antisense_RNA from 1 species